rnacentral:rRNA from 1 species
AUUGUACGCUGGCGGCAGGCCUAACACAUGCAAGUCGAACGAGUGGCGGACGGGUGAGUAAUGUCUGGGAAACUGCCUGAUGGAGGGGGAUAACUACUGGAAACGGUAGCUAAUACCGCAUACCAUCGGAUGUGCCCAGAUGGGAUUAGCUAGUGGGUGGGGUAAAGGCUCACCUAGUCGACGCUCCCUAGCUGGUCUGAGAGGAUGACCAGCCACACUGGAAGUGAGACACGGUCCAGACUCCUACGGGAGGCAGCAGGGGGGAAUAGUGGACAAUGGGCGCAAGCCUGAUGCAGACAUGCCGCGUGGAUGAAGAAGGCCGUCGGGUUGUAAAGUACUUUCAGCGGGGAGGCGUUACCCGCAGAAGAAGCACCGGCUAACUCCGUGCCAGCCGCCGCGGUAAUUC